rnacentral:rRNA from 1 species
AUCCUGGCUCAGGAUGAACGCUGGCGGCGUGCCUAAUACAUGCAAGUCGAGCGAACGGACGAGAAGCUUGCUUCUCUGAUGUUAGCGGCGGACGGGUGAGUAACACGUGGAUAACCUACCUAUAAGACUGGGAUAACUUCGGGAAACCGGAGCUAAUACCGGAUAAUAUUUUGAACCGCAUGGUUCAAAAGUGAAAGACGGUCUUGCUGUCACUUAUAGAUGGAUCCGCGCUGCAUUAGCUAGUUGGUAAGGUAACGGCUUACCAAGGCAACGAUGCAUAGCCGACCUGAGAGGGUGAUCGGCCACACUGGAACUGAGACACGGUCCAGACUCCUACGGGAGGCAGCAGUAGGGAAUCUUCCGCAAUGGGCGAAAGCCUGACGGAGCAACGCCGCGUGAGUGAUGAAGGUCUUCGGAUCGUAAAACUCUGUUAUUAGGGAAGAACAUAUGUGUAAGUAACUGUGCACAUCUUGACGGUACCUAAUCAGAAAGCCACGGCUAACUACGUGCCAGCAGCCGCGGUAAUACGUAGGUGGCAAGCGUUAUCCGGAAUUAUUGGGCGUAAAGCGCGCGUAGGCGGUUUUUUAAGUCUGAUGUGAAAGCCCACGGCUCAACCGUGGAGGGUCAUUGGAAACUGGAAAACUUGAGUGCAGAAGAGGAAAGUGGAAUUCCAUGUGUAGCGGUGAAAUGCGCAGAGAUAUGGAGGAACACCAGUGGCGAAGGCGACUUUCUGGUCUGUAACUGACGCUGAUGUGCGAAAGCGUGGGGAUCAAACAGGAUUAGAUACCCUGGUAGUCCACGCCGUAAACGAUGAGUGCUAAGUGUUAGGGGGUUUCCGCCCCUUAGUGCUGCAGCUAACGCAUUAAGCACUCCGCCUGGGGAGUACGACCGCAAGGUUGAAACUCAAAGGAAUUGACGGGGACCCGCACAAGCGGUGGAGCAUGUGGUUUAAUUCGAAGCAACGCGAAGAACCUUACCAAAUCUUGACAUCCUUUGACAACUCUAGAGAUAGAGCCUUCCCCUUCGGGGGACAAAGUGACAGGUGGUGCAUGGUUGUCGUCAGCUCGUGUCGUGAGAUGUUGGGUUAAGUCCCGCAACGAGCGCAACCCUUAAGCUUAGUUGCCAUCAUUAAGUUGGGCACUCUAAGUUGACUGCCGGUGACAAACCGGAGGAAGGUGGGGAUGACGUCAAAUCAUCAUGCCCCUUAUGAUUUGGGCUACACACGUGC